ACAGAACAGUUAUAGUGGGAGGGGCGCACCCAGCGCAGGCCAACCCUUUAUAGCGUGAUGAUAUUAGUUAUUAGUUGUGCACGCAUCCUUCACGUGAGUACUCCAGUGGAAAAAAAAACCUGCGUGCCUCUGUCAUUGGGUAGGAGCGGAGCCAUGACGUGUGCACGCUGCCGUCACAUGCUUACUCCAGUUAAAAAAAAAAAAAUUGUGUUCAUUUAAAACUUGUUCUUUUAAAAACAUUAAAAAUGUUCUUUUGUGAUACUGUUCUUGUAUAGAAAUUUUUCUUUUGAACGGCUCUUUGAAAGGAACGGAUCGCGAAGAUCCGGAUCCCCUCAAAGAGCCAUAAAUCCCAUCACUAGUCACAACUCUAUUGAGUCGGUCAGUUUAGGCGAUUGAUGCUGGCGUGCUCUGACAGAACCUCGCACGGUUUUCAACGCGGAGUCUGUUUUGGAGUUAAUAUUUCUCAGGUAAAUGCGAAAUAAUGUUAUAUAAUCUUAUUUAUACACGUUUGACGCCAUGUUCGGUUAAUUUUGUUGAACUUGAUGUUCCCCCGCUAAAAAUGCUCGUGUCAGACUGGCUGGUGUAACGUACGUUGGCCUGCAGGAUGGAGCUGGCUAGAAUGUCUAUAGCUAACUUAAUAAAGGAGUGAAUACAAUUUGGUAUCGAAGUCACUGAAGAGGAGAGGAAAAAGUUUGAAGGAGAUUAAUGCUCUUGGAGAGGAUGCUACAUCAAUAGAGGGACAUGUGAAAGUCCUGCAGGACCAAUAUAGAAGGACACAGUCAGAGACUCACAUUGUGGAAGAUCGAAUGAGGAGGACCGCUUUUACUUUACUGAGUUUUUCAUUGAAGAGCUAGUUUUUUCUUGACAUGCUUGCUGUUGUGAGAUGUAAUGAAAUCUUUUUAAAAGAACAUUUCUAAAUAAAAUUGUAUAUUUGUAA